rnacentral:rRNA from 1 species
UACGUAGGUGGCAAGCGUUGUCCGGAUUUACUGGGCGUAAAGGGCGUGCAGGCGGUUUGUUAAGUCUAGGGUGAAAGCUCCCGGCUCAACUGGGAGAGGUCCUUGGAUACUGGCGAACUUGAGGGAUGCAGAGGAAAGUGGAAUUCCCGGUGUAGUGGUGAUAUGCGUAGAUAUCGGGAGGAACACCAGUGGCGAAGGCGGCUUUCUGGGCAUUUCCUGACGCUGAGGCGCGAAAGCGUGGGGAGCGAACCGG